AGGGUUCGAUUCUGGCUCAGGACGAACGCUGGCGGCGUGCUUAACACAUGCAAGUCGAACGGAGAUUGCGACUGGAAGGUUUCGGCUGGAAGGACGUAAUCUGAGUGGCGGACGGGUGAGUAACGCGUGAGCAACCUGCCCUUCAGAGGGGGAUAACAACGGGAAACCGUUGCUAAUACCGCAUAAGACCACGACCCGGCAUCGGGAUGAGGUCAAAGGAGCAAUCCGCUGAAGGAGGGGCUCGCGUCCCAUUAGCUAGUUGGUGAGGUAAUGGCCCACCAAGGCGACGAUGGGUAGCCGGACUGAGAGGUUGAACGGCCACACUGGGACUGAGACACGGCCCAG
rnacentral:rRNA from 1 species